GAUCAUGGCUCAGGAUGAACGCUAGCUACAGGCUUAACACAUGCAAGUCGAGGGGCAGCAUGAACUUAGCUUGCUAAGUUUGAUGGCGACCGGCGCACGGGUGAGUAACACGUAUCCAACCUGCCGAUGACUCGGGGAUAGCCUUUCGAAGAAAGAUUAAUACCCGAUGGCAUAGUUCUUCCGCAUGGUAGAACUAUUAAAGAAAUUUCGGUCAUCGAUGGGGAGUGCGUUCCAUUAGG
rnacentral:rRNA from 1 species